GCUUCAGACAGCAGUGUUCUGCCGUACUGCGUACAAAUCCAUACCACAAGCAACACUGCCUACAUCUCCCACUGCUCUACAGUAUGAAUACAGAGCUGCAUCUGUUCAUAGUAAGCAAGGACACAGCUAGGUCACUGUAUAAGAGGUAAUGGAGAACGAAGGAGUGGCCUGAUGGUGAAAACUCAGUUAUUACAGUUUUGGGAAUUAAAUCUAAUGGUGAAACAAGCAUUGAAUAAGGAAUUUACAGAAAUCCUUAAAAAAAUGGAAGUGGAAGGGGGCUGUUUAAUUUUUAACAUGAUAGUGUCUCCUCUGCUGCAUAUGCAGCUGAUAACCAAAAUGUGAUGCAAUGUCAAAUAUACAAUUCAAAGAAGUUGGUUUUUGUUUUUAAUAUUUUUUUAUUGGAAUUCAAAUCAUUUGUCUUUACGCACUUGCUUUUAAAAGGAAUGUGUAUGACUGGAUUGCUUUAGGCAAUAAAUAGGAUUCAUUAGGAAUGUACUAAGAAUAAUAUACAUUUUAAAAGAAAGCUCAUUACACAUAAAGAUGGUUUUCUAACAGAAGACUAUCCUUCAGUAACGAGUGAUAGGAUGCAACAAAGCUUUUUAGUUGCGCUGGCAACAGACUUCAUAACUAGGCAUCUCAUACACCAGGUAUUGCAGAUGCAUGUGUGAUUGAAACAUUUGGAUCAUCAGUACAACAAAAUGAAUCCAUGACCUACAAUUUAAAAGGAUCCCUUGAAGAUUGGUUAUUGUUUUUAAAUGUAUUCAAUUAAACUAAUUUCCCUGUGCUGAUUUUCCUUUUUUUAAAUUAACUAAAUAGGUGGCUUAACCGUUUUCACAUAUAUUUCCUAAUUUUUGAUAAUGAUUCAUUGCAUUAAGCUAUUUAUAAGAAGAUAAGAUUGAUGUCUUUUACUCAUAAUAGAUCAGUAAUGCCUUGCCAUAUUCUGUUGAUUUAUCAUAUUAACCCCCUUCACUAUGGAGUUUAUUUUGAGAACAAAUCAUUUUGAAACUUGCAUAUUUAGCACACAACAUUAGUGAAGACCAGUUAUUUAAUAUAUAGAUUUCAGUUCGAGGAUGCAAUAGAAUUAAAAAAUGAUGUGCAUUUUCAGAAUUAUAAAUGUGCUGUUGCUCAUUUAUCCUGUGUAGAAAUGUUACAUAGGUUGAUAUAACUGUGACAGGAACAUGGCGACUGGUCCCCGACUUUGCAUCCAGACCAGGACAGAAUUUCUCAUAAGCCUGCCGAGGCCAUGUCCUCGGGCAUCAAGCAGGAGAAGGGCAGCACUCCAUAAUCACAGCCUUAUUAUCAUUGGCAUAAUGGGAGUAAACUGUGUACUCGGGUGAGAAGUGGAAUAGCCUCCUGACUUCUCUUCCUGGCAGGCAGAGGGCGUGGAAAAAAAGUCGGUCAUCACCUGUGUGACCUCCUAUACCUCUGGCUGCCGGAUGUUAUUGCUACUAAACCUACACUGCAGCAAUAACCAAUACUUAUUGCAAGAGAGACACAAAUGGGGAAAUGAGGGGUAGACGGGGGAACAAGUGGGCAAAGGGGCAUGAGAAGAGAGUAAUAAGUGGUGCAAGGGGAAGAGGAGCACAUGUGAGGGACGUAUAAAUGAACAGAGGGGGAUGGAGAGAGAUAGAAGGGGUAGAUGGGAUUAGAAACACAAUGCACAAACAUACAUCUGCAUGCAUGUACACUAACCCAUUACACAACUACACUCCUGCAUGCACACACUGACACGCUUGAAAAAUAUAGAAAUCUGCACUUUCUUGUAAAAUGAAAAAUAAGAGUUUACACUCCUUGCACUUAUAUAGCAACAGCAGGCUGAAAAUGUUUUAGUGGUGUCUUUAAAAUAAAAGUAUAAAAAAUAAAUUAAAAAAAGGGGACUUACUGGUCUGUCAGAAAACUUGUAGAAAUCCUAGCUUUCCCACCCCCUUUCCAGUUAAUGAUGGAUUGUGCUAUGUUGGUGGUGGUUUGUGUUUUAUUUUCUCUUCUUGUUUUGACAUAGCUAGCAAGAUUCCUGGCCAACGCAGUAGAAGAAGUUGCAGAGACGGCUUGGGUAGUUGAAGCCUGCUGAGAACUAAUGGCGGGGACAGGCUGCUCCGGAAUCUUGGUUUUCCUGUUUAGAACUGUCUGUUAGAGAAGCAUCCAAAAGCUGACAGGGUUAUAUGUUUG